UACGUAGGGGGCUAGCGUUGUCCGGAUUUAUUGGGCGUAAAGAGCGUGUAGGCGGCCAGGUAGGUCUGCUGUGAAAACUCGGAGCUCAACUCCGAGCCUGCUUCCGAUACGGGCAGACUAGAGGUAGGCAGGGGAGAGCGGAACUCCUGGUGUAGCGGUGAAAUGCGUAGAUAUCGAGAGGAACACCUGCGGCGAAGGCGGGUUGCUGGGCUGACACUGACGCUGAUGCGCGAAAGCUAGGGGAGCGAACGGG
rnacentral:rRNA from 1 species